AGAGACAGCAGUAGCCGCGGUAAUACGUAGGUCCCGAGCGUUGUCCGGAUUCAUUGGGCGUAAAGCGAGCGCAGGCGGUUUAGUAAGUCUGAAGUUAAAGGCAUUGGCUCAACCAAUGUAUGCUUUGGAAACUGUUAGACUUGAGUGCAGAAGGGGAGAGUGGAAUUCCAUGUGUAGCGGUGAAAUGCGUAGAUAUAUGGAGGAACACCGGUGGCGAAAGCGGCUCUCUGGUCUGUCACUGACGCUGAGGCUCGAAAGCGUGGGUAGCGAACAGGAUUAGAUACCCGCGUAGUCCCUGUCUCUUAUACA
rnacentral:rRNA from 1 species